AUGCAGCCAGUAGAGGUUUUGAGUACCCCUCAGGUGGACAGUUCUGAAGUGUGCUCUUCACAGGUAAGGCCCCUGCAGGGUACAGCCUUGGGAACCUCCAGCAGUGAUGAUAUCACCAGCACAUCCAGGGUUGCCUUUUCUUUCAUGUUUUAUCCUUGCCAUCUCCCACUCCUGUUCUUUGGAAUCAUCUCCCCAAAUAAACCACCUGUAUAUAAAGAUUUCUGUCAGGAUGUUUAUGGAGAAGGAGAGCAGGCUAUCUGUGCACUGGCAGUGGUCAAAUACCAUGACUCUCACCCUUCUACCAACUUAAGGCCCUGUGGAAAUUUUCACAUGUACAAAGGGACGUGUACAGGACUUUUCAAAACAUCAAAACAGAGAAGGGGUGCUGGGGCUGUAGCUCGUGGCGCCAUGCCUGCCUGGAAAGUACAAGGUCCUGAAAAAUAAAAAGCAAAAACAAAAAAUAGAAAAGGGGGUAAAAACCCAAAUGUCUAUCAAUAAGAGAAUUAUUAUGUAAUUUUAUUAUUUUGACAUCAGUGGAAAUGAACACCCAUUUAGAUAUACCCAGGACAGGUGACUUUCAAACAAAGUAUUGAGCCAAAAUGUAAUGUGCAGAUGAAGAAAUUUCGAACCUAAGUAUGUGAAGUUCAAAACAUGAAAAACUGAACAGGAUAUUGUUUGAAGACAUGUACAUGUUUGUUAACAUAAAGAAAAAUAAGGAAAUUCUAAACAAAAUUCAAGACGUUAUUUUGGGAAGGGAAACAUAAAGGAACUCAUUGGAAGGUACAGGUAAGGUUCCAAUAGUGUUAAGAUUCUGUUGCAUAAGCUAAUACCUGAUAGCUUAUCAUUCUUUUUGUUUUCCUUGGGGUCUUGCACAUGCUAGGCAAGUGCUCUCCCACUGAGCUCCAUACCCCCAGCUUAUACCUCACACUUGGUUUGUAUUUUUUAGAAUGAUUUUUUUCUUAGUACCAGAGAUUGAACCCAGGGGUGCUUUACUACUGGGCUACAUCUCCCUCCAAUCCUUCUUAUUUUGUAUUUUGAGAUAUCACCAAGUUCCCCAGGCUAGCCUCAAACUUGUGAUCCUCCUGCCUCAGCAUCCCAAAGAUCUGGGAUUACAGGCAGACAUGAAUAAUAAGAUAUUUUAUCAUAAAAGACUAGCUGGCCAUGGUGGCGCGCACCUGUAAUCCCAGCACUCUAGGAGGCGGAGGUAAGGGGACUGUGAAUUAGGGCCUAGUCUGGGCAGUUUAGCAAGAACUGGUUUCAAAAACAAAAAGAAAAAAAAAGUUCUGGGAAUGUAGCUCAGGGAAAAAGGCCUUGGGUUCAAUCCCUAGUACUACCAUCACCACACACACACACACACACACACACAAAAGCCUUGAUAUUAAGAAAAGGUUACUUUUGUGAAGGGUGACUGUGAAAUCACUCUAGUUCCCUAACAUCCAGUCCUUCCAGAAAUGAACUAGGUAGAGACCCCAUCUCUUAAUGGUGAUUAGUUUACAUACUAGGACUGCCUCUGGAAGACAAGACCCUAGAUUUAAUACUUUUCUCUUAAGUAUUACUUCUUUUAUCAGUCACUGGAUGGACUAGAUGUAAAAGAGGAUUUAAAUAAAAAAACAGACAUAUCUGGAACAGUCCUGACAGCAGAUCUUUCUGUGUGAUAAAGUGGUGCCAAUAAAGACUUUGCUACUCACUGUGCUGUUUGGGUGGCGAAGCAGCACCAGCAUCCCUUGGAAGCUUCCUGGAAACAGAAUCUAGGUCUCACCUUAGAGUAUACAUUGCAACAAGGGUUCCCCAGCUGAAACUUGGGGAUAUUGAAGUUUGAGAGACACUGGCCCGGGAGUCCUAUAACUGCACCUGCAAAAGCAGCAUCCAGCAGAAAUGCAGCAUGUGGAAAUAACUCAGGUUUAACUAACAGACCUUUUCACAGACUCUCUUUGAUGGUGAUUCUAUGGCCCACGUAUUUACAAGUAGAGACUUUACUUACUCCUCUCUCCUCUUUCAAAUUGUGCUGGGCUGUGGCACUCUCAUCCAUCCAAUAAUGACACCAAAAAUGUACUGAGCUUCUCUUGAAGACAUGAUAGUGAACAGAGUGACAUAACUGACUCAGGAGCUUACAGUCCAAUGGGAGACAGAUACCAAGUGAGCAACUGCAUAUUUAGUGAGUGUUAGAAAGACAAAGACACCGGGUGUGGUAGCGCACACCUGUAAUCCCAGUACCUGGGAGGCUAAGGCAGGAGGAUUGCUGUGAGUUUGAGGCCAGCCUGGGGUACAUAGUUUGAGGCCAGCCUAAACUACAGAGCUAGAACCUGAAUUAAACAAAACAGAAAGGCAAAGGGAAUUUUAUCAGAAAAGAGGUAGAGAUGGGGAGUCAAGGGUAGCUUCCUGGAGAAAGUAUUACUUAAAUUGAGAUGAGAAGGCAUAUGAGGGUGGGUUGUGGUUGAGCUGGGGAACAUUGAUGUUCCACACACAAGGAACAUCAAUGAAGAUAGCUCUUUGGACACUGGUGUUUGUCUUCCAUGCCUUGCACAGUUCUUGCCACAUACUGUUUACAAGUGUUUGCUGAAUCAGUAAGUGUGCUGCCACAUUUCAGACACCACCUCUCUGGCACUGGAGAUGGUGGUGGCUUUAUUUCCCUUCUCAAAGGAAAUAAGAUACCUUAAUGGGGAAUGAGAAGGAAGACAGACAGCUGACUAUUGUGCAAAUUGCUAAAUUGAAACUAUGAGUGGGAAUGAAAAAUUGAUUUACAUGAAUUUUCUUCCCUAUAGCAACCCAACAGUUUAUUUUGUUCUGGAGAACUUUGAAUUUCUGGCUUCAAAACCAAGCUGUUCCUCCUUAUUCUGAAUUUCUUGGCCUGCUGUGAAACUAGCAUUCACUGUCUUUCUCAGCAUACUCUUGAUUAGGCUAUGGAAAUUCACAGCUAGAUCAAACUAGUAUAUGGAAAAUUUGAAGCUUUUAUUGCCUAUUUUACUUUAUAGUACUGGAAGGUAUUAUGAAACACUGAUUUUCAAAUCUUUUUUUUCAGAAGCAAUACUAUAGAAUGAUAAUUGCCAUCAUUUGUUCAACACCUACUAUUUGUAUUAUAUAAAAGCCUCAAAUUAACUCUGCAAAAAGCAAGCCAUAUAAAAAAUGCCAAAUAUCUGUGAUUUCAUAUGGUUCAACUUAAAAUUGUCUUCAAGCUGUCACCUUAGAAAGGUUAUGGAAUCCCUCAUAGCUAUCUUACCCUAAAAUUUAGUAAUGAGUUUUCUAUAAAGUUUUCUUUAUAUACCUCCCAAAUUGGGGAAGAGUUACAGCUCCUCAACACCCACUAUUUUCCCCACAUUAACCCAAGCACUGUGUCUACUUCCAAUUAUGGUGGUUGGUAUUUCGUAUUGAGGUGGUUUAUAGCCCAUCUUCCUCUCUAGACUAAGUUGCGUGGAGGUGAGAAUAUUUGUAUCUUUUGUAUCUACAGUUAUAAAAACUUGUUAAAUAAAGUGAAUGUAAUAUCUUAAUAAAAUUUCUUGUGGCAACUAAAUCUUUAUUGACUUGUUACUAGAUAUUAAGUUGGAUU
rnacentral:lncRNA from 1 species